rnacentral:rRNA from 1 species
UACGUAGGGGGCGAGCGUUGUCCGGAAUCAUUGGGCGUAAAGCGCGUGUAGGCGGUUAAGUAAGUCUGCUGUGAAAGCCCAGGGCUCAACCCUGGAAUGUCAGUGGAUACUGUUUAACUAGAGUACGGAAGGGGCAAGUGGAAUUCCUGGUGUAGCGGUGGAAUGCGCAGAUAUCAGGAGGAACACCAAUGGCGAAGGCAGCUUGCUGGGACGUUACUGACGCUGAGACGCGAAAGCGUGGGGAGCAAACAGG